CUUACCACAGUGUCCUUGGUCCUUGACACCAGUCACAACACCCUUCUUCCUCCAAUCCAAAGUGUAAGGUGCAUCUUCGCAUGAGUCAUCCUUAUUAGGCAAGUCGUGUCUUUUGCCUAAUGGCUUCUUUACCUUUGAAUUAAACUUAUGCUUGAACUCUUCAUUGCUCAUGUCAGCAAACCUGUUCAAUCCUAGACUGUGCCCGUAAGGAUAAUUUCGCUUUGCGUUCUUCUCUACGAUGUAUUUCAAGUUCCUCUUGAAAUUCUCCAACCUUAACUUUGCUUCUUCAGGGUGUUCGUAAGACUUUCGGUGCUCCUCCUUCCAUCGUUGAAACAGCUCCACCACCCCUUCCUCUGAAGGAAACUUGUCAAGGUCGAUGGCCAAUAUGGAGUACUCACUUGGGAGACCAUAGCACAGAAAUGCCCAUGAACCCCAGAGAAGGAAGAGAAAAACCAGUUGAGUUUUCAGUUGGUAGACCAUUUUCUUCCUUGUUUACUUGAUGAUUUGAUCCACCAUCAUCUUUGUAUUCCAUAUUUAUACAACAUUACCAAUCUGCCAGUCAGCAUCUUGGUCCUUUGGACUUUUACUUCUUUGGCUUAGAUAGAAAAUCAGAAAGGUAAAAGAAAAGAAAAGAAGAUCAAAUAGCACUGUAAAGUAAAGGGGUGAUUUGGUAGUAAUGUAUGAAUGAAUUCCAGUGUCAACUUCACGUUUGUAAUUGGUAAUGAGUGUGAAAUAUUUGUUUUAGUAGUUGGAUUUUUUUUCUACCUAAAAAACUAGUGAAAAUUUUGGGAUUGUACUAAGAAAAAAGGGUUGGGUAAUCUAACAUUCAAACGUGUACGUGUUCUGACUAGGCUAUUAGACUGGUUGCUGAGGCAUGGCACAAGCA
rnacentral:lncRNA from 1 species